AACAAAUGUAAACCAAAUAAUAAGUUUUGAACAUAGAAUUCAAUUUUAAUUAAUCUCGUAUAACUAAUAGUCCAAUUAUCACAGCUUCAACAAGUUCGUGACACAGUAACACCCGAAAAGAAGUUUGCCUUUGUAGAAACUCUACUGUGAGAUAGAAAGGUAAAGUGAUGACAGGGAGCAGCUACAUUAGGUGGUUAAAGUACUUUUGUUGGUGGUUUAAUCCAUGGCCAAGGAGAAAGACUACAUCGAGUAUAUUCAACUUAAAGCUGUCCCUCCAGCCUCUUACUCAGCUACUAUUGCCUAAUUCCUAUAGAAUAGAUACAGCUUGCACAUGUAUUUGUUUUGGAUCAUCAAAUAAUACAUGAGAUGAAAUUCAGUAGUUCGGACUUCAGAGUAUUUUUCUCAUAAGCUUGCUGUAUAUAGGGGAACACUUCAUUUAUUUAAUAACAUGCAUUAAUAAUUUGCAAAUCAACCGUACCAUCACACAGAAUUUAUCCUCAGCAUCUACUUAUGAAAGAAGAAAGCUCCUUUCAUUUGGGUGAUAUGGACAAAGGUUUGAGGAAGUUAAAUUUUUAUUUACCUUGGGAUCUAGCAUAAAAUUUAUGGCAGCAAUCAACUUAGGAAGUGAAAACACGUCAAUUGGGAUAGGUGGAGGGCCGACUCCUCUAUCAUGUACUCUCUCACCCCAAAAGGGUUGAUCACCGAAAAAAGGAACUAUUGUCGUUGGGCACUGCCAAAAAAAAAUACAAGUUAUUAAAAAUAAAACCAAAUGAUAUCAUAUUUACAAGGGAUUCAAGAAGGUAUUAUUUCUUACUGCAGCUUUCAAUCCUGCAGCUGUUGUUCCUGCUCCUCCAUGAUGUACCUACAAAAAGUGCAUUAAAAAAAAUAAGAAUUUGCAGUGUUAAAUAAAGGAUGAUUAAGAGUAUUGAAAUAAAUGAUCUUACCACUGCUUUGCAGUGUAAAAAUAGCCAAUCGUGGGGAACAUUAUCCAACAAGUAUAUAGAGUCCUUUGGUUCUGUCACUGGGAAAACAAAUAGUUAAAGAAACAAAAAACUAAUAAAGAACUCAAAUGGAAGCAUGAAUAAGCAGUAUCCUUACAGUCCCCAAGACCUCCCCAUCCUUUACUGAUGAUGCCCCUCUGUCCCGUGGUUUCCAGUGCUUCAACAAUUAUUUCUGUCAUCGUUUUUGGAUCUUGAACAGGCUGUAGCGGAAAUGAGAUAAGUAUAUAUAAAGAAGGAGAAUGGGUGGGAGGGUGUGAGAGGAAGCAAUGAAAUGAAAUAGUAUAGAAAAAUUAUUUGUUGUAUAGGAGAAGAAACUGUGCAAGAGAUAUACGAAGCAAGGAGAGGAUAUCCUUGAAAAGAAAACUACAAAAAGAGAAAAUUCCUAAGAACCAUCAAACAAAGUCACGAAAACUAAAGUUGCACAGCCCAAUUUAUAUGCACAUCUCAAACGAAAACAUCCUUUGAGAGACCAUGACCCAAGCGCCAAAGAGAUAUGAGGAUCUUUAUUCCUUCCCAUAAUAAUGCUAAAACAUCUAAACAACCUGAAAAAUCCAAGCAUUCUCCUCCAACAAAAAGGACCACAGAAUAUGAACAUAGCACAUUUUCAACAGAAUCUUAACCUCUUUCUUUUGAAACCCUAUAAAUCUUAUUUACAGAAAAGUUUCCAGGUAGUUAGGACAAACCCAAUGUAGCCCACAAACAGACUUGCGCAGGCAAUGAGCAAGCUAGCAGUUAAGAAUUAUCCAUGCACAUAAAACAAGUAUCAGGGGAGUGGCUGUUUUAAGUCUGUAUCAAAUAACUAGAAUUGGUCUUAUUUAACCACAGUCAAGGCGAAAGACUCCAACUAAGAAGGUGCUAUGAAUUUCCAAAUAUAAUCAUUCAGGACAAGUUUCCCUCAAUUUAGAGAAUGAGUUAAGCUAUACAAGAAUGAUUUGCAAAAGUGAUCAUUAAAAUGCCAAGCUAUCAUUAACACAUAGAAAUCAUGUGGAUAAGAUACAUACGCGAUGCAAAUAAAUUAACUCACCAGGCUACCAAACCCAACAUAAAUCGGCUUGUCACCAUCUUCAAGCCAUUUUACAAGGGACUCGGGAGGUUCGUAGUUUGAUGCUAGAUCAAGAAAGCAAAACCCUACUACAUCAAUUUUCGGUCCCCAAUCUGCAAAUAAAAAAAUAAUAUAUUUAAUACUUAGUAGAAUGACCUGAGUAAGUUUUUUGAAAAUAUACAAGAGAUUGCACAUUUAAAUACAAGAGAGAAUCCCUUACAAAACUAAUAACUAAUGAAGGGAAUGAAUAACUACAUUAAUUAACAUUGCACCCAAGUUGAGGUAUAUGCAUUAUAUGCAUCCACCUUGUUAAAUAUAUAAUUGAUAUGAGGUCCUCAUAGAGAUUAGUGAUUGAGAAAACUGAAUAAUAUAUUUCAAGUUAUGAAUAAUGUAAAACCACUUAUGUGUUCAUAUANNNNNNNNNNNNNNNNNNNNNNNNNNNNNNNNNNNNNNNNNNNNNNNNNNNNNNNNNNNNNNNNNNNNNNNNNNNNNNNNNNNNNNNNNNNNNNNNNNNNUUUUUUAAGUUUACAAUACAGUACAUCGAAAAUAUGGUAUUUAGUAUUGACACUUUUUCGCGUAGCUCAUUGAGGAUGAACAACACCAAAGUUUAUUAACUUGAUUAAUGAACUAGGGUUUAGACCUCUUGGUCAUGGAGGCUGUGAUAUAAUUCCGUGAAAUACCUUGAUUAUAUUUUCCAUCAUCUGUCCUUGUUUUGAAUUCAAAAACCAGAGCUUUGAUUUCGGCACUUUUAUUAACUUCCUACGUUCUACACAAUACUGCAUAUGCUCCUUCAACUUUAGUCUAAAACAUAUAAGUACUUACACAACACGAAGGAGCAAUGUAAACCAUUAAAACUUGCCGAUCUAUCCAUCCAUUUUGAGAUUUUAUGAUUUUUGAGUCAGUUACGGUUCUUUCUUCGGUUUCUCUACGUCCUGUGGACCAGAUAGCAGGUCAAUUCUCGGUCGGUUCAAUCAAACUAGUGGUGACUUAUAUUAGAUAGUUCAUCCAAGUGAUAUGCUAUUUUAUACAACAAGUAAUAAUUUAUAAGAUCUUUUUAAAUCAUCACUAACGUGACUUGAUUUUUUAAACCUAACACAACAUCACAAAACCAAAACCAACUCAUCAUACACUUAAUUCUAAUAAAAAAAUUAGACCACAUGUAUCUGGUCAUGGUGAAAAAAUGAUAUAUUUGUUGAGUGCAAAACAGAAAAGAACAAAACCAUUACACAGGUACCAAGGGAAUCGAUUACAGACACAACAGAAAAUUUACACACAUAUUGAAGCUCAAGUUAAAUAGAAGCAUGCACUGAUAUUUGUAAUCACAGAACAGUGUGACAAGUCGAGCAUGGAAAUAGAAGCAUGCAUUAACAUAUAUAAAUGGGAUGUACAUAUGGAUCGAGAAAUGGUGGGGUCUAACCAGCUUGCAUUGGAUCAGGAAUAACCAAAACAUCUAGCUAUAUAUGAGAAACAACUAGAUGAAGAUGGCUCUGUAUUAGGCUCAGGUUUAUUUUUAGGAAGCUGCUUAAAAAAUUCUUUCACAGCUCCAGUUACGCCAUCCUCAUUUUCCAUAGCUUUGGCAAGUUCGAUUGCAUGCUCCUUUACCUAUAAGUAUAAUGAGCAAUUAAAUGUAACAGUUAUCUUUAUUCAUAGCGCACCCAACCAGAACAGGUGUACGCAAGCUUACCGUUGCACCAAGACUUGCCUUCACCCAUCCAACAAAUGUAAACCAAAUAAUAAGUUUUGAACAUAGAAUUCAAUUUUAAUUAAUCUCGUAUAACUAAUUGUCCAAUUAUCACAGCUUCAACAAGUUCGUGACACAGUAACACCCGAAAAGAAGUUUGCCUUUGUAGAAACUUUACUGUGAGAUAGAAAGGUAAAGUGAUGACAGGGAGCAGCUACAUUAGGUGGUUAAAGUACUUUUGUUGGUGGUUUAAUCCAUGGCCAAGGAGAAAGACUACAUCGAGUAUAUUCAACUUAAAGCUGUCCCUCCAGCCUCUUACUCAGCUACUAUUGCCUAAUGACUAUAGAAUAGAUACAGCUUGCACAUGUAUUUGUUUUGGAUCAUCAAAUAAUACAUGAGAUGAAAUUCAGUAGUUCGGACUUCAGAGUAUUUUUCUCAUAAGCUUGCUGUAUAUAGGGGAACACUUCAUUUAUUUAAUAACAUGCAUUAAUAAUUUGCAAAUCUACCGUACCAUCACACAGAAUUUAUCAUCAGCAUCUACUUAUGAAAGAAGAAAGCUCCUUUCAUUUGGGUGAUAUGCACAAAGGUUUAAGGAAGUUAAAUUUUUAUUUACCUUGGGAUCUAGCAUAAAAUUUAUGGCAGCAAUCAACUUAGGAAGUGAAAACACGUCAAUUUGGAUAGGUGGAGGGCCGACUCCUCUAUCAUGUACUCUCUCACCCCAAAAGGGUUGAUCACCGAAAAAAGGAACUAUUGUCGUUGGGC
rnacentral:lncRNA from 1 species